AGUCAGGUGCCCAAAAGGGCUUAAUAGGGAAGACCGGUGAAAUGCCGGCACGGUCCCGCCACUGUAAUGCAGAGCGAAUCUAGAUGUCACUGAGAAAUCGGGAAGACGGAGGAGCGAGGAAGCAGAGUCAGGAGAACUGCCUGUCUUAA
rnacentral:ncRNA from 1 species